rnacentral:rRNA from 1 species
GAUGAACGCUGGCGGCGUGCCUAAUACAUGCAAGUCGAGCGAACAGACGAGGAGCUUGCUCCUCUGACGUUAGCGGCGGACGGGUGAGUAACACGUGGAUAACCUACCUAUAAGACUGGGAUAACUUCGGGAAACCGGAGAUAAUACCGGAUAAUAUAUUGAACCGCAUGGUUCAAUAGUGAAAGACGGUUUUGCUGUCACUUAUAGAUGGAUCCGAGCCGCAUUAGCUAGUUGGUAAGGUAACGGCUUACCAAGGCAACGAUGCGUAGCCGACCUGAGAGGGUGAUCGGCCACACUGGAACUGAGACACGGUCCAGACUCCUACGGGAGGCAGCAGUAGGGAAUCUUCCGCAAUGGGCGAAAGCCUGACGGAGCAACGCCGCGUGAGUGAUGAAGGUCUUCGGAUCGUAAAACUCUGUUAUUAGAGAAGAACAAAUGUGUAAGUAACUAUGCACGUCUUGACGGUACCUAAUCAGAAAGCCACGGCUAACUACGUG